UACGUAGGCAGCAAGCGUUGUUCGGAGUUACUGGGCGUAAAGGGUGCGUAGGCGGUUGUUUAAGUUUGGUGUGAAAUCUCCCGGCUCAACUGGGAGGGUGCGCCGAAUACUGAAUGACUCGAGUGCGGGAGAGGAGAGUGGAAUUCCUGGUGUAGCGGUGAAAUGCGUAGAUAUCAGGAGGAACACCGGUGGUGUAGACGGCUCUCUGGACCGUAACUGACGCUGAGGCACGAAAGCGUGGGUAGCAAACAGG
rnacentral:rRNA from 1 species